rnacentral:rRNA from 1 species
CUAGUCGCACGAGUUCAUACUCGUGGCGAAUAGCUCAGUAACAGGGCCAAACUACCCUUCGGAACACAAUACCCUCGGGAAACGAGGCUAAUAGUGUAUCCCAUACCACCACUGGAAUGAGUGGUAUGUCAAACGCUCCGGCGCCGAAGGAUGUGGCUGCGGCCGAUUAGGUAGACGGUGGGGUAACGGCCCACCGUGCCAAUAAUCGGUACGGGUCAUGAAAGUGAGAACCCGGAGACGGCAUCUGAGACAAGAUUCCGGGCCCUACGGGGCGCAGCAGGC